rnacentral:rRNA from 1 species
UACGUAGGGUGCAAGCGUUACCCGGAAUUACUGGGCGUAAAGCGUGCGCAGGCGGCUAUGCAAGUCAGAUGUGAAAUCCCCGGGCUCAACCUGGGAACUGCAUUUGUGACUGCAUGGCUAGAGUACGGUAGAGGGGGAUGGAAUUCCGCGUGUAGCAGUGAAAUGCGUAGAUAUGCGGAGGAACACCGAUGGCGAAGGCAAUCCCCUGGACCUGUACUGACGCUCAUGCACGAAAGCGUGGGGAGCAAACAGG